AACUUGUCUCCAUAUAGCCUAAAGGAUUAAGGUUAUCUUCCUAGAAAUAAUGUACCUAGGGAGCAAAGGAAUACCCCAUUUCUUGGGUGUCCCUUUUAAGUUGUCAAAGUCAUGUUCUGUCUCCACAUCAGCAGGUAGAUAUUACCGUUGAGUAACCUAUGAAGGGCUUCAUGAACGUUAGGGGGGGAUAUGAUGAGGAGUAGAGUAUACUCUUUAAAUUUUUGAAGGGGAGUUUAACCAUUCCAAUGUUU
rnacentral:lncRNA from 1 species